UGGGGGACCGGGAAGAUGGUGGAAAUGAGAAUGGCUGCUGCCGAGGUGAACGAUAGUUCUGCCCUAACGAAGGAGGAAAAUGAGCUUAGGGAAGUCGUGGCCGAAGGCGAGCACACAGAGAACUACCAGACACUCAUCGAUGCUGGACUGCGGCAGAACGUGGCUGAGAGUCUCGACAACAUAUUCUCAACCGGGUUGCUGGCGUACGCUGACCUAGAAGAGGGGGUCAUCGAUGCUCUGCGGGCAUUGAAUGAAGAGGGAGCGCUGUCUGUACUCUCACAGUUCAAAGAAAGUGACCCAUCUCAUGUGCAGAACAAAAGUGCUUUUCUUUGUGCAGCUAUGAAGACGUACAGACAGAGGGAAAAACAAGGAAGUAAAGUACAAGGAAGUAAAGUACAAGAAUCCACUAAGGGUCCUGCUGAGUCCAAGAUCAAGGCUCUGCUGGAGCGGACAGGAUACACCCUGGAUGUCACCAGCGAACAGAGGAAAUACGGAGGGCCCCCACCAGAGGAAGUGUUUAAAGGAGCACAGCCUGGGAUUGGAACUGAGGUGUUUGUGGGAAAGAUCCCCAGGGACCUGUAUGAAGAUGAGCUGGUGCCUCUGUUUGAGAAGGCUGGCCCAAUCUGGGACCUGAGGUUAAUGAUGGACCCCCUCUCGGGUCAGAACCGGGGAUACGCCUUCAUCACCUUCUGCGGCAAGGAUGCAGCAACUGAGGCAGUGAAACUUUGUGACAACUAUGAAAUCCGGUCUAGGAAAUACCUUGGAGUAUGCAAAUCCGUAGCAAACAACCGUCUGUUUGUCGGAUCAAUCCCAAAAAACAAGACCAGAGAGAAUAUAUUGGAGGACUUCAGCAAAGUCACAGAGGGGCUUCAGGAAGUGAUCCUCUACCCCCAGACGGAUGACAAGGAGAAGAACCGUGGCUUCUGUUUCCUGGAGUACGAGGACCACAAGUCUGCAGCCGAGGCCCGCCUCUGCCUCAUGAGUGACACGGUGAUGGUGUGGGGGAACCCGGUCACUGUGGAGUGGGCCAACCCGGUCACUGAGCGCAAUGCGGGUGCCUUGGCCCAGCAGGUGAAGGUCUUGUUUGUCAGGAAGCUGGCCGCCUCCGUCACAGAGGAGCUACUGGAGAAGACCUUCUCUGCAUUUGGCAAAGUGGACCGGUUGAAUAAGAUAGAAGACUACGCCUUUGUCCACUUUGAAGACAAGGACGCAGCUGUGAAGGCAAUGGCAGAAAUGAAUGGGAAGGAGCUGGGGGGAGGGGAGAUUGAGAUAAGAAUGGCAAAGAGGAAGAAGGCUCGAAAUGCUCAGCGCCAGGCCACCAGAAACCGAAGGAAUGAUGCCGAUUACAACCACCCACCGCCACGCAUACCUCCACCGGAUAGGGUCCGUGGCCGAGGGGGCGGGGACUAUGCCGCCUAUCCCCCAGACUACAACAGCUACGAUGACUACUACGGCUUUGACUAUCACGACCCCCGCAGAGGUUACGAGGACCCCCACUACGGUUACGAGGACCCCCACUACGGUUACGAGGACCCCCACUACGGUUACGAGGACCCCCACUACGGUUACGAGGACCCCCACUACGGUUACGAGGACCCCCACUACGGUUACGAGGACUUGUACAGCAUGAGGGGCCAUGGCAGACUGCCCAGCAGGGAAAGCCUACCCCCACCCAGGGACCGCAGACCACCACCCACACAGGGCUAUGUGCAGAGGGGUCCACCCAUUGCAGGGCCCAGGGAUGGCAGAGUAAGGGCCCGUGGGGGACCCUUCCAGCCACAGAGGGGCCGCGGUAACCGAAAAGCCAGGGGGAACCAUGGGGGCGGGAAGAGGAAGGCAGACGUCUUCAACCAGCCUGACUCAAAGCGCCGGCAGACCAACUAGCAGAACUGGGGCUCUCAGCCCAUCGCCCAGCAGCAAGGUGGCGACUAUUUCGGUAACUAUGUUUAAGGUGGUGAAGGGAGAGCAGCAUCGCUUGAAUGAGGAACAAACUCAACCUGAACUGUGUUCCUUUACAAAAGGGCAUUCCCUUGGCAGCAAGAGCCUCUCUGUGGAUACUGCAGUGUACCCAAGUGGUGUCGGGAGCAACUGCUUGCAUGCGCAUUACCACUCCACUAUGUCUCCCUGUUAUGGCUUUUGCACCAUCAGUACAGAUACCAACACAUCUUGACCACCAAAGUCCUUUUGAUGUCACAAAGCUGUCCAGUCCUCUCCUGGUUUCCAGUGGUCUGCAGAAGAGGAUGUCUUCCUUAAUUGACCCCCCAUAAAUGUAACAGACAUAUACCAGGAGCUGUGCCAGGUCCGCCAUGUCUUUUGACUCAUCCAUCUGUAACGCAUAGAGUUCACUGGCUUGUAUGCAAAGCAGUAAUUGUUUCAAAACGUCUCUUGCCAUGUCACUGAUGCGUCGUGAAACAAUGUUGUUUGAUGAAGGCAUUGUCUGUUUUAUAUAUAUAUUUGAAAACUUUUCCCCUCAGCAUUUUCCCAGCAUUAUCCGCGGCAGCAGGAAGAAUUGCAGUCCUCCACAAUAGUAUUUUAGCCCCUUCUUAUUAAUGGUACAGUAUCUGUUGCUUUUAGACAUGUCUCACUACUCGAAAGUUGUCAUGUUUUGUUUCUAAAUGUUUGCGCAUGAGUGAAUGUUUCCUCAAGUUGUGAGAUAGUACUUUUGCACAUAAACUCAGCAAAAAAAGAAACAUCCCUUUUCCAGGACCCUGUCUUUAAAAGACAAUUUGUAAAAAUCCAAAUAACUUCACAGACCUUCAUUGUCAAGGGUUUAAACACUGUUUCCCAUGCUUGUUCAAUGAACCAUAAACAAUGAAUGAACAUGCACCUGUGGAACGGUCGUUAAGACACUACCAGCUUACAGACGGAAGGAAAUUAAGGUCACGGUUAUGAAACAUUAGGACACUAAAGAGCCCUUUCUACUGACUCUGAAAAACACCAAAAGAAAGAUGCCCAGGGUCCCUGCUCAUCUGCGUGAACGUGCCUUAGGCAUGCUGCAAGAAGGCAUGAGGACUGCAGAUGUGGCCAGGGCAAUAAAUUGCAAUGUCCGUACUGUGAGACGCCUAAGACAGCGCUACAGGGAGACAGGAUGGACAGCUGAUCGUCCUGGCAGUGGCAGACCAUGUGUAACAACACCUGCGCAGGAUCGGUACAUCCAAACAUCACACCUGUGGGACAGGUACAGGAUGGCAACAACUGCCCGAGUUACACCAGGAACGCACAAUUCCUCCAUCAGUGCUCAGACUGUCCGCAAUAGGCUGAGAGUCUGGACUGAGGGCUUGUAGGCCUGUUGUAAGGCAGGUCCUCACCAGACAUCACCGGCAACAAUGUCGCCUAUGGGCACAAACUCACCUUCGCUGGAACAGACAGGACUAGCAAAAAGUGCUCUUCACUGACGAGUCGCGGUUUUGUCUCACAGGGGUGAUGGUCGGAUUUGCGUUUAUCGUUGAAGGAAUGAGCGUUACACCGAGGCCUGUACUCUGGAGCGGGAUUGAUUGGUAGGUGGAGGGUCCGUCAUGGCCUGGGGCGGUGUGUCACUUGUUCAGGUUAUGUCUCAGUUGUUGAGUCUUAUGUUCAUACAAAUAUUUAUGUUAAGUUUGCUGAAAAUAAACGAAGUUGACAGUAAGAGGACAUUUCUUUUUUUGCUGAGUUUAUAACACACUGUGACUGAGGAAAGGCACUACUCCCAAUAUAAGUGAACCCCACAUCAAUGUAGUUCUCAUCAUAUUUUUGCCUCUUCGAUGGUCCAUUGUCCCCGUCUGUUGUUCGGUGCUUUCCUGGGUAAGGGGGCAGUAGCUCUUUGGCCGCAUCAGAUUCACAACUGUCAGUGUCCAUGUUAGCUGGGCUAACAACAAAUGUAGAAUUACUGAUGCUAGCAUUGGAUGUGCUCGUGGAAGCAGAACAACUUGUGUCGUCGACAGGUGAAGGUGUAAUACUGCUGGUAGUAGCAGUAUUACCAGUAGAGCUGGUAUGUGUCUCUAUGGAAGCAGAACAACUUGUGUCGUCGACAGGUGAAGGUGUAACACUGCUGGUAGUAGCAGUAUUACCAGUAGAGCUGGUAUGUGUCUCUAUGGAUGUGGGCCUUACUUUUUUUAACCAUAUAUCAAUUUUCCAGCAAACUGAACAUGUGAUUGAAUGUUAAUUAUUUGACUAGGCUACCUGUAUUUGACAUUGUGUUGUUAUUUCGCUGAACACUAGAUGGUUUCAUUUUAUUUUUGGCAGUGAAACGAGGCUACUAAGGCGAGAAGAAAAAAAACUCACCUAAAUGUAUAGCUUCGUUGGAAAAUAUGAAUUGACUGAAAAUGUGAAGAUUUUUUUGAAAAAUAAUUAUUUAUUAGUAUUAUUAUUAUUUACAAAAAUGUGAAUCACAUUUUUGCUUGGCGUACCACCGACGGCAUUGUGUUCCCCAGUUUGGGAAUACCUGCUCCAGGCAGAUGGGUUGCCUCCCACAAUGUAACAAUGUUCCAGAAUACAUAUACAUUUAGGCUUUAAUUUAAUAAUUACAAAUAUUUGUUUAUUUGCUAUUGAGAAUACAUAUUUGUGGAUUUGUGUAAUAUUGCACAAUUUCACAGGCAACCACUGUGAUAGCAAGGCAGGUUCUAUUAUAAAGCAAGAGGUUUUUGUCUUUGAGUGCAGUAGUCAGAGAAGAUAUUAUCAUGGUGAAACACAUUUAAUCAUGGUAGGACAGUAGGAAUUAGAAUUCUGUAAAACCAGUCCAGAAGGGGCUCUAUUGCCAGUCUAUCCCUUCCCUGUCUACCAUGAAGGUCCUAUACAAAGUCAAUCCAUUUGACAUUGUUGUAAAGGACUUCCCCUCACAAUAUGGUCACAGCCUAGACGUGUCCUCCACUUUUAAGUGGCAUUGUAAAAAAAAGCCAUAUGUUUCCACACACAGUUUACAGCAGCAAAAUAAGUGGUAGCUACUGUAUCUGCAUAAUAUCAAGGCCUGUAGCCUGGUGACUUGACCUGGAGGUUAAUCUAAUCCAUGUGACGUGGUAUUGUCUUAUAGCCUAGCUAGCUGCAGAAGCUAAUAGCACUCAAAUGACUGUCUGUCUGUCUGGUGACCGAGUUUUGGAGGGAGUUAUCACCUCAGUCAGGACUAGGCUACUAACCUGGACCUAUCUGUUCUGAUGGUGAGUGUGCCGGUCUGUUUUUCUGCAUCUGCACGAUACUUUGUUCAUAUUUUUAUAUACAAUACAAUGUUAAUAAUGUAAUUAUUAUAUUUUACUUAUUUUAACAAUACCCUGAUAAUGUAUUAUAAAACAGGCAGAUCAGCAUAAAGGAGGCUACAGCUGUAGCAUGUGGGUACUACAACAGUCCAUGCUACCGGGGACCCUUGGGACAUCCCAACCACAUUGAAGUUUAACUUUAAGAUGGCGGUUGGGAACUUGGGCCGGUGGCCGAUAGGUCUCUGGUUCGAGUCCGUCUUGACUUGGUGGGAGAUAUGUCAACGUGCCCUUGGGCGGGGCGCUUCACCCUGGUUGCUCCUGUAGGUCGUUCUGGAUGGGAGUCAGCUAGAUGACUGAAUGUAGUGUUAAUGUUGAGCGGCUUCACUGCAGGUAGAUUGUAUGUUUUAAUAUUUUAAAAAUAAAACAUUAAGAUGGUUACGUUUAGGGUAGGGACGUCAAGGAUCUCAGAUAGCACUGACAAUACUACAACAUGGCUGCUUUUACUCUUCUCUGAACAGCUGAUUUAACCACAAAGUAAACAUGACUUUCUUAAUUGCAAA